rnacentral:rRNA from 1 species
AACGCGAAGAACCUUACCCAGGCUUGAACUGCGAGUGACCUCCUACGAAAGUAGGCUUCCGCAAGGACACUCGAAGAGGUGCUGCAUGGCUGUCGUCAGCUCGUGUCGUGAGAUGUUGGGUUAAGUCCCGCAACGAGCGCAACCCUUGUCAGUAGUUGCCAGCGGUUCGGCCGGGCACUCUACUGAGACUGCCGUUGAUAAACCGGAGGAAGGUGGGGAUGACGUCUGGUCCGCAUGGCCUUUAUGUCUGGGGCUACACGCGUGCUACAAUGGCCGGUACAAACCGUCCCGAUACCGUAAGGUGGAGCUAAUCGGAGAAAGCCGGUCUCAGUUCGGAUUACAGGCUGCAACUCGCCUGUAUGAAGUUGGAAUCGCUAGUAAUCGCGGAUCAUCACGCCGCGGUGAAUACGUUCCCGGGCCUUGUACACACCG